GUAGGGAAUAUUGCGCAAUGGACGAAAGUCUGACGCAGCGACGCCGCGUGAGUGAUGAAGGCCUUAGGGUCGUAAAGCUCUGUUGAAUGGGAAGAAAAAAAUGACGGUACCAUUCGAGGAAGGACCGGCUAACUUCGUGCCAGCAGCCGCGGUAAUACGAGGGGUCCUAGCGUUGUUCGGAAUCAUUGGGCGUAAAGGGUGUGUAGGUGGCCAUGUAAGUCAGGUGUGAAAGCCCCGGGCUCAACCCGGGAAGUGCACUUGAUACUGCGUGGCUUGAGUACCGAAGAGGGUAGUGGAAUUCCAGGUGUAGUGGUGAAAUACGUAGAUAUCUGGAGGAACACCGGUGGCGAAGGCGGCUACCUGGUCGAGUACUGACACUGAGACACGAAAGCAUGGGGAUCAAACAGGAUUAGAAACCCGAGUAGUCC
rnacentral:rRNA from 1 species